rnacentral:rRNA from 1 species
CAGCAGCCGCGGUAAUACGUAGGGUGCAAGCGUUAAUCGGAAUUACUGGGCGUAAAGCGUGCGCAGGCGGUUCGGAAAGAAAGGUGUGAAAUCCCAGGGCUUAACCUUGGAACUGCAUUUUUAACUACCGGGCUAGAGUACGUCAGAGGGGGGUAGAAUUCCACGUGUAGCAGUGAAAUGCGUAGAGAUGUGGAGGAAUACCGAUGGCGAAGGCAGCCCCCUGGGAUGAUACUGACGCUCAUGCACGAAAGCGUGGGGAGCAAACAGGAUUAGAUACCCUGGUAGUCCACGCCCUAAACGAUGUCAACUAGCUGUUGGGGUUUAUUAACCUUAGUAGCGCAGCUAACGCGUGAAGUUGACCGCCUGGGGAGUACGGUCGCAAGAUUAAAACUCAAAGGAAUUGAC